ACACAUGAUGAAAACUGUAAAUAGAAAGUGCCAUUGGAUGUGAUAACUAACAAUUUAUCAUGCUCACCGUUC
ensembl:snoRNA